UGNUCUGUCACUGACGCUGAGGCUCGAAAGCGUGGGUAGCGAACAGGAUUAGAUACCCUGGUAGUNCACGCCGUAAACGAUGAGUGCUAGGUGUUAGGCCCUUUCCGGGGCUUAGUGCCGGAGCUAACGCAAUAAGCACCCCGCCUGGGGAGUACGACCGCAAGGUUGAAACUCAAAGGAAUUGACGGGGGCCCGCACAAGCGGUGGAGCAUGUGGUUUAAUUCGAAGCAACGCGAAGAACCUUACCAGGUCUUGACAUCCCGAUGCUAUUCUUAGAGAUAGGAAGUUACUUCGGUACAUCGGAGACAGGUGGUGCAUGGUUGCCGUCAGCUCGUGUCGUGAGAUGUUGGGUUAAGUCCCGCAACGAGCGCAACCCUUAUUGUUAGUUGCCAUCAUUAAGUUGGGCACUCUAGCGAGACUGCCGGUAAUAAACCGGAGGAAGGUGGGGAUGACGUCAAAUCAUCAUGCCCCUUAUGACCUGGGCUACACACGUGCUACAAUGGUCGGUACAACGAGUUGCGAGCCGGUGACGGCAAGCUAAUCUCUGAAAGCCGAUCUCAGUUCGGAUUGGAGGCUGCAACUCGCCUCCAUGAAGUCGGAAUCGCUAGUAAUCGCGGAUCAGCACGCCGCGGUGAAUACGUUCCCGGGCCUUGUACAC
rnacentral:rRNA from 1 species